UACGUAGGGUGCGAGCGUUAAUCGGAAUUACUGGGCGUAAAGUGUGCGCAGGCGGCGUCGCAAGUCGAGUGUGAAAGCCCCCGAGCUUAACUUGGGAAUUGCGCUCGAAACUACGGCGCUGGAGUAUGGCAGAGGAAGGUGGAAUUCCACGUGUAGCGGUGAAAUGCGCAGAUAUCAGGAGGAACACCAGCGGCGAAGGCGGCGCUCUGGGCUGGAACUGACGCUGAGGAGCGAAAGCGUGGGGAGCGAACAGG
rnacentral:rRNA from 1 species